rnacentral:rRNA from 1 species
AGAGUUUGAUCCUGGCUCAGGAUGAACGCUAGCUACAGGCUUAACACAUGCAAGUCGAGGGGCAGCAUGGUCUUAGCUUGCUAAGGCCGAUGGCGACCGGCGCACGGGUGAGUAACACGUAUCCAACCUGCCGUCUACUCUUGGACAGCCUUCUGAAAGGAAGAUUAAUACAAGAUGGCAUCAUGAGUCCGCAUGUUCACAUGAUUAAAGGUAUUCCGGUAGACGAUGGGGAUGCGUUCCAUUAGAUAGUAGGCGGGGUAACGGCCCACCUAGUCUUCGAUGGAUAGGGGUUCUGAGAGGAAGGUCCCCCACAUUGGAACUGAGACACGGUCCAAACUCCUACGGGAGGCAGCAGUGAGGAAUAUUGGUCAAUGGGCGAGAGCCUGAACCAGCCAAGUAGCGUGAAGGAUGACUGCCCUAUGGGUUGUAAACUUCUUUUAUAAAGGAAUAAAGUCGGGUAUGCAUACCCGUUUGCAUGUACUUUAUGAAUAAGGAUCGGCUAACUCCGUGCCAGCAGCCGCGGUAAUACGGAGGAUCCGAGCGUUAUCCGGAUUUAUUGGGUUUAAAGGGAGCGUAGAUGGAUGUUUAAGUCAGUUGUGAAAGUUUGCGGCUCAACCGUAAAAUUGCAGUUGAUACUGGAUAUCUUGAGUGCAGUUGAGGCAGGCGGAAUUCGUGGUGUAGCGGUGAAAUGCUUAGAUAUCACGAAGAACUCCGAUUGCGAAGGCAGCCUGCUAAGCUGCAACUGACAUUGAGGCUCGAAAGUGUGGGUAUCAAACAGGAUUAGAUACCCUGGUAGUCCACACGGUAAACGAUGAAUACUCGCUGUUUGCGAUAUACAGCAAGCGGCCAAGCGAAAGCGUUAAGUAUUCCACCUGGGGAGUACGCCGGCAACGGUGAAACUCAAAGGAAUUGACGGGGGCCCGCACAAGCGGAGGAACAUGUGGUUUAAUUCGAUGAUACGCGAGGAACCUUACCCGGGCUUAAAUUGCAGAUGAAUUACGGUGAAAGCCGUAAGCCGCAAGGCAUCUGUGAAGGUGCUGCAUGGUUGUCGUCAGCUCGUGCCGUGAGGUGUCGGCUUAAGUGCCAUAACGAGCGCAACCCUUGUUGUCAGUUACUAACAGGUUCCGCUGAGGACUCUGACAAGACUGCCAUCGUAAGAUGUGAGGAAGGUGGGGAUGACGUCAAAUCAGCACGGCCCUUACGUCCGGGCUACACACGUGUUACAAUGGGGGGUACAGAGGGCCGCUACACGCGAGUGGAUGCCAAUCCCAAAAACCUCUCUCAGUUCGGACUGGAGUCUGCAACCCGACUCCACGAAGCUGGAUUCGCUAGUAAUCGCGCAUCAGCCACGGCGCGGUGAAUACGUUCCCGGGCCUUGUACACACCGCCCGUCAAGCCAUGGGAGCCGGGGGUACCUGAAGUGCGUAACCGCGAGGAGCGCCCUAGGGUAAAACUGGUGACUGGGGCUAAGUCGUAACAAGGUA